AUGGUGGCUCCACAGUAUAGACCUUGGUUAGAUCUUCCGUCAGAACUCUUGGGCCUUGUCCUCAAGCGCCUCCCCUCGCUAGCUGACCGUGUUCGUCUGAGAGCAGUCUAUCACCCAUGGCGCUCUAACAGCCUGCUGCAACCACUUCCCCUCCCAUUCCCAUGGCUCACCCUCCCUGAUGGCACCUUCUUGAGCAUCCCAGGAGGUGAGGUUCACCAGAUGUGUGUACCAGAUGGUGCUCAUUGCCAUGGCUCCAUUGACAACUGGUUAUUCCUCAUGAGCAGUGAUGACGCAUGCACAUUGAUGAACCCUUUCUCUAAGACCACAUUGGAGCUUCCUAAUCCGGUCUCAUUUUUUCAGCGUAUACACGAGGAAUAUGAUCCUAAGCAACUUUUGUACAAGUUGGUGGUACCCUCACCCCUGGACAUAUCACCUAAUUCCCUUGUUGCGGCAUUGAUCAAGGAUGAUGAUAAUAUCAGUGAAGUUUGCACUAGUCAGCCACUGAUUGCCACUUACUCGGUGCAAGGCAAUUCAGUAUAGCGCCUCUUUGAUGCCGCGUUCUUUGAUGGAAAGUUGUACGCGGUGUCUAUCUUUGGCUAGCUCUUCAUCCUUGAGUUAUGCAGAAACCUUGUUGAAUGUGCUGGUAGACUGUUGGCGGUGAAACGAUUCAUUCGUCGCCUGAGCCCUCCCACUGGUGACAAUAUCUUUGACAAUACUCAAACUGCUGGGUUUGUUGUCCUUGAGGCAGACCUGCACUCCAACCCUUGCCGAUGGAAAAGGAUCAGUGAGUUGGGAAGACAUGCUCUCUUUGUUGGCCAGCAUGGCUCCAAGUCUCUGCCUGCUAGAGAAUGCAUCGGAUCCCAGGAGGAUUGCAUCUACUUCAUUUGUGACUAUCCCCAUACAAAGUAUUUUUUGAGUCCAUUUCACGACUGUGGUGUGUACAACAUACGGAAUGGUAUGAUCAUGCCAUUGAUGUCUUAGACUGCAGCACCUGCACAUGAUGCUAGCCAGUGGCGCCCGACAUGGUUUUUCCCUGCCGAACCUAUGUGA
rnacentral:rRNA from 1 species